rnacentral:tRNA from 1 species
GCGGCUGGAUCACCUCCUUAAUCGAAGACUUCAGCUUCUUCAUAAGCUCCCACACGAAUUGCUUGAUUCACUAGCGAAAAGCGAUUGGGUUUCGACCCGAGAGAGACGAUUGGGUCUGUAGCUCAGUUGGUUAGAGCGCACCCCUGAUAAGGGUGAGGUCGGCAGUUCGAAUCUGCCCAGACCCACCAAUUGUCAUGGGAUGUGGCCGAUCUGUAGAUGGGGCCAUAGCUCAGCUGGGAGAGCGCCUGCUUUGCACGCAGGAGGUCAGCGGUUCGAUCCCGCUUGGCUCCACCAUUAACUCGAAAAUCGCUGAAAGCUCAGAAAUGAGUGCUGCUUGCGCAUCGCAUGAUGUGUGAGGGUAUUGAUUUCUGGUCUUUGCGCCAGAACUGUUCUUUAAAAAUUUGGGUAUGUGAUAGAAGUAGAUUUGAGUGGUCACUUUCACUGGUGAUUAUUCAAGUCAAGGUAAAAUUUGCGUGUUCUCUAUGCAAAUUUUCGGCGAAUGUCGUCUUCACGUUAUAGACAGUAACCAGAUUGCUUGGGGUUAUAUGGUCAAGUGA